CCGCCUCCUGGCGGCCAGCGAUGGCUCCUCCGGUUGAGGGCAGCUGGCAGCGAGUCCGCCGUCCCCUGCUCCUCCCCUUCAUGGCGGACGGUAGCAGGCUCCGGCCCACGGCAGACGACGGCACUCCUCUGCUCCCUCCAGGAUGGCAGCCACCCCACCUCGUCCCAGGAGCACGGCAUCCGGGUCUCCGUCCCACUUUUCACAAGGCUCCAGUACCACCGCCUCGGGCAGCCUCUCGCGGUCUUCACUCCCGUGCUGCCCGAACUCCGCAGCACCACGAUCCCCCUCUGCAGCGAGGGCUCGCCAACAGCAUGUCCCUCCUUCCUCCCGGGUUUCGGCACCAACGUAACACAGUUCGUAAGUAUGGGAAGAAGGAGGCGGGAACCGGCGAAUGUUCAACAAAACUUUAACUCAAACAAAUACAAAACUAAAGUAAUGCCGUCAGACCCUCACGGAUGUCUGCCAGCCACACAAACAUAAUAAAACAUAAAAUAAAGUCCAGGCCUGGUCCUCUCUCAUCCUUCACUGUCGUCGCUCCUCCUUUUAUGCUUCCGAAGCUCCUCCGUGAGAGACUCAAGGCCGGUGCGCCUCCCAGGUGGAGCUCAUUAACUCUCGCGCCACCGGCCUCGCGCCGUUCCCUCACGGCUCUCGCCCGCCCUGGUCGCCACAACAACAUAAUAACAAAAUAGUGGAUGCCACCUUAUUGGGACAUUACUUGUCCCUGUCCCUAAAGCCCUCCACUACAACUACCCUUAACCCUACCCAAUAAACACUUCAUUAAAUACCCAUUAGGGACUUCAUUUCCACUUUUCUAAUAUUUUCUUCAUUUUAAUUUAAUAUUAAUGCAUCUUCAAACUGAUAUGCGAUGGGAAAUGGAUGAAAUAAAUGAGUUCGGAAAAAGACUCUCCAUAAGAAAAAUCGCAAAACAACACACACACUGAUCGUUAUUAAGAACCAGAACCAAAGUGGCAUCAGCCUCCUCUGAUACAAGGAUCAUAUUUUAGAACGGUGUUACAUUUGCAUUGGUGGAAGAAUGCAGACGUUCCAGAACUGUUCACGGAAAUGAAAAUAAUUUGGUUCCAGUAUUUCUGAAAAAAUGGUUUCCCAACCCAACUUGGAUGACGUGUCAUAUUUACAUUCCAGAAACUCCCAGUGACCAUUUCCCAAAUCACAUAACUGCCUCAUUUUCCCAUGGUGCAAUUACCCUCAGUAAAUGGUGUUGUUAUAAGGUACCUCCUCACCCUGCCUUUGAGGUUUCCACCUUUCUCUAAAUUGUGCUUUGUCCACUUAGAUGAUAAUCUGCUUCACAGCACAUGUGUCAGAUGGAAGGAAUGCUAAUCUGGAAGAGGUGCAGAGCUUGGACUUUUUGGCAGCCAGUUUCCACUCUGCACUUACUUUCCAUGUGGUGCCGCUCCAGAGGCUCCGGGCAGGAGAAGCCUGUUUGGGGAACAGAGGUGUUGACGGAUCCCAGAUCGCCCCUUUGUCCACGCCCCCCAUCUGAGGGUCAUGGCUCUGAUGGACAACUGACCUUAACUUCUGUACCAAUACAGGAUCCAGAUCUGUAGUUCAGAUGAAGGUCUGGAAUGGAGGAUCACAAUUUCUGAAUGAAGAUGUUAAAAGUGUGAGACCCAGGUUUCCUGAUCUUCACCUGUCAACAGAUUUUACCCCAGAGAAUUAUUUGUUCUCUAAAAGACCUGAAUGCGACAUCUCUUCUCUGAUGACGUGUUUACUGGCGCGAGGGCGGGGCAACCUGUCAUUCACAUGAGAUCCACCAAUAGAAAACCACAAUCAUCCAAUUCCCCAUGGACCAAAUCAAGCCCCUCCCUACAUUUGUUCUUAUUCCAGAAGCCGUUUCACUUAGAUAUACAGCACAAUAGGGAAGAAAAGACUAUCGCAAAUUCCAUUUCAUGCCAACUUUAAGCCCUGCCCAUCCCCAAUUUUUCCCCAGUACCGAAAUGCAACAACUAAAGACAUAUGCACAACAAUAACAAACGCUUAUGCAUGACAUCACAACUUGUGGGCGAAUCUUUUUGAAUGCUUUUCAUCAGUUAACCGUGUCAGUGAUAGAAAUCACCAAAUUGUAAUUAGGCUCAUCACUACACCAAAUAAUUAUAAAUUGAACAAAACCUCACAAUUUACAUAAUUUUCAGUAUCACCACAUAACAAAUUAAUAAUUCAUUAUUCGACUACUAAAAGUAUAUCCAACUUUACCCGCACACAUACUGUAGACUCGUGUUAAGCAGUAUAUGCUCAGCUGCGUGAUUGUUUAUAUUGUUGCAAAAUGUAAACUGUAUUAUCGCACAUCUCUAUGUAUAAAGUUGUAUAUACUGUAUAUAUUAUAUCCAACUUUCUCCACUCACGUAGGACAAUACUGUAUAUACUAUGUGGCAAAUCUCAACUCCUUGAUUGCUUGUAUCAUUGAAAAAUGUAAACAAUAUUAUUGCCCAGCAAUAUAUUAAAAGUUGGAUAAAUAGUGCAUCCUAAUUUACCUGCAUGUAUACAGUAUGCUCACGUAGAGCAAUAUAUACUAUAGAGCAAAUCUCAACUGUUUGAUUUUUUUUAAAGUCUAGCUCAAAAUGUAUCUAUAUUAUCGCCCAGCUCUUUAAACUUUAUCCUUUAUCACUUAAAACCUGUACAUUCAAAAUGUAAACUAUGUAAUCUGCCAGCUCUAAUCUGCUAAAUGUGACCAUAAGGCAUGAAGAUAUUAAGAUCUUUGCUCCAGGUUAACCCAUGAUUUAUUUUGAGAGGCAUAAGCAAAACAAAGCAAUGCUGCUUUUUACACAACAUUCAUAAUUACCCAUCAUACAUUGUGAUACAGCCUGCUUAGUUGGUCCAAUGGGACAGAUUGCUUUAUCACCACAAGCGGGAUGAGACCACCUCACUCAGGGGUUUGGAUUCAAGUGCGAUUUCCAUUUCCAUAUAUGCCUGAAAGAACCAUACUAAGGAAGAAAACAUUCCAGGUUCUGAAACAAGCACUCCAAAUGAGCCAGGUGUGAAAACACCCUAAGAUAUUAUAAACAUUAAAAUCAUGAUAUUCUGUAAAGCAGCUUUGAAACAAGGUGUAUUGUAAAAUGUAUACAAAUAAAUUUGACUUGACAAAUUCAUGCAUUCAUGUGAAAGUAUGGGGGAAACAGGUCCUUCAACUCAUAAUUAUUAUACCUGACAUUCUGUUCCCAUACCCCAAAUUAUUCUUCCCGUGAUCCCAUUCACUCCAAACCCCCAGUGCUGACUUUGCCCUCCUAUUAUGGCUCCAUUUUUACGCUAUUAGAGUCUUGAGUGCCGACGCAGCAGAGCUGUACGAUGU